rnacentral:rRNA from 1 species
GGCGAACGGGUGAGUAAUACAUCGGAACGUGCCCAGUAGUGGGGGAUAGCCCGGCGAAAGCCGGAUUAAUACCGCAUACGACCUACGGGUGAAAGCGGGGGACCGCAAGGCCUCGCGCCAUUGGAGCGGCCGAUGUCAGAUUAGGUAGUUGGUGGGGUAAAGGCCUACCAAGCCGACGAUCUGUAGCUGGUCUGAGAGGACGACCAGCCACACUGGGACUGAGACACGGCCCAGACUCCUACGGGAGGCAGCAGUGGGGAAUUUUGGACAAUGGGCGCAAGCCUGAUCCAGCCAUGCCGCGUGCGGGAAGAAGGCCUUCGGGUUGUAAACCGCUUUUGUCAGGGAAGAAAUCCUCUGGGUUAAUACCUCGGGGGGAUGACGGUACCUGAAGAAUAAGCACCGGCUAACUACGUGCCAGCAGCCGCGGUAAUACGUAGGGUGCAAGCGUUAAUCGGAAUUACUGGGCGUAAAGCGUGCGCAGGCGGUCUUGCAAGACAGAUGUG